AGUACUGCUGCAAGUUAACGUGGUUUGACUGGAGUUCUGUAAAACUAUCAUCUGCAGUGGCAAUGGAAGUGACUUUGGCAUGGAUGGUGAUUUCAGCAUGGUGUAUUUUCAACUCACACCAACUCAGAUAGGAGGUCCUCUUCUGAUAUAACUAUACAGUGACAGCACCUCUAAGAUAUGUUA